AACCAUUAUUAAGUUGAUAAGCGUGAGAGUGCUUUGAACACUCUUUCGUGGCCUUCCACCGUGGUAGGCUCUGAUCGUUUGUGACUCGUACACCGACUUCCCACUAUCAUGGUGGAGUACAAAGUGCGUGCUUACACUCAAGAGGAGUUCUAUAUGCAUACAUGAUGUUGGGAAGGUAGGCAACGAGAAUAAUCAACAUCAUAUCAUUGUGAGGUUGUUCUUAAACCCCUACUUGAACUUGCAUGGUGGGAAUGACUUAACUAAGUGCAAUGGAGCCAACAUCAUAUCAUUGUGAGGCUUCAUUCUCCAGAGGCCAAAUAAGAUGGGUACUUGCAAGAGAUGCAAAUGAGUAAGCGUACUCUCUCAUUAUUAUUUAUGCUAGCCAACAUCAUAUCAUUAUGAGGCGGGCUUGGUAAUGAUGAGUCUCCCAUACCCUACUAAGAGUUUCCUCCAAAACUCUCGAAUUCUGAUGAGGGAUAUGGAAUUUGCCAAAAAUAGUGGGUGGUGCUAUUUGAUUUAAAGACCCGGAUCAAAUGGCUUAAAAUCAAUCAAUUUAUAUUCGUUAUGUAUUUAUUUACCAAUAUAUUUGCAAACACUAUCUAAAACCUGACAAAGAAAAAGCCGAAAGCUUUAGUUUUCGGACUUGGUACUACAAUUCCAUAGAUUGUCUUUAAUGGCUUGUAUAUGUACCUAAGUAGUCUCAUCCUCGCAAUCUUCCCAUUGAUAAUAUAUCAUUGGAAGAACAUGUUAGAUAAAUCUAUCAUAAAGAGGACAACACUUUUAAUGUCAUAAUUCUUCAAUUACAAAUUGUUGU
rnacentral:lncRNA from 1 species